UAUAAGCCUGUUGGGCGUGAUAAUAGCUUGUCAUAGUUACUCUGAUU
rnacentral:snoRNA from 1 species